UACGAAGGGUGCAAGCGUUACUCGGAAUUACUGGGCGUAAAGCGUGCGUAGGUGGUUUGUUAAGUCUGUUGUGAAAGCCCCGGGCUCAACCUGGGAAUGGCAAUGGAUACUGGCAAGCUAGAGUGCGGUAGAGGGUAGUGGAAUUCCCGGUGUAGCGGUGAAAUGCGUAGAGAUCGGGAGGAACACCAGUGGCGAAGGCGGGACUCUGGGCCGAUACUGACGCUGAGGAGCGAAAGCGUGGGGAGCAAACAGG
rnacentral:rRNA from 1 species